GCCAGCAUGGCUUAGUGGUUUGAACAUUAGAGUAUGACUCUGGAGAUCAGGGGUCGAUUCCCAGGUCAGCCA